GACGGAGGAUGCAAGCGUUAUCCGGAAUGAUUGGGCGUAAAGCGUCCGCAGGUGGCUAAUCAAGUCCGCUGUUAAAGCGUGAGGCUUAACCUCAUAUAGGCAGUGGAAACUGGUUGGCUAGAGGGUGGUAGGGGUAGAGGGAAUUCCCAGUGUAGCGGUGAAAUGCGUAGAUAUUGGGAAGAACACCAGUGGCGAAAGCGCUCUACUGGGCCACACCUGACACUGAGGGACGAAAGCUAGGGGAGCGAAAGGG
rnacentral:rRNA from 1 species